GAGAAAGUUGCUUCAUGACACCUUUCUGUCAGUUUAACUGAAGCACAAGAAGCCACAAAGGCUGGCUUCCAAGUGCCUCAGAUGAGUGCAGUCACAGAUAUUUUUCUUCUUUCCUUUUUGAAAAGAGAAGUCCUUUUCACAUUUUUGCUGAUUUCUUAAGAAGUAAAAACACUUUAAAACAAACAACUGCCAAACACAUGGUAGGCAGCACCUCCCCCCCCCCAAGCUUACAGGAAGGACAAGCUGGGGAGGCCAUCGUGUUUUCAGGAAAUGCAAGCGGUCAGGACUCUGGAGAGAUGCCUUCUCAUGGACUUUGAUUGAAGUGUGGGCACCUGGGAAGGCUGCACAGACCAGACAAUGGUGAGAUGAUUUGUAGAAUGAAGGAUGAAAUACCCUUUCUUGAUGACCUCAAAAGUAAGGAAAGAAAACAAGAAAGAAGAUGAAACCCAUCAGCUCACAUCAAAAAUACAAUUAGCAUCAGUUGGUGUUGGCAUCUGUCUGUCUUGGGAGACAAUGGAGGAGUGCAACGUUGGGGGUGAAGUCAAACAAACAGAGCCUGUUGAGGCAGGAGAGACCAAUAAGGAGAGACAUGUUUUGUUGCUGCUGGGGCAGAUGGAGACAUCUGGUUCUGCUGUUGCAGAUGCACAUGGUGUUUCUUCUCUCUGCAGUCUUCCCAAUGGUCAUUCCUCCUCGGGUCACUGCUGUGGAUACACAACCUGGCUGUCUAUCUCUGGACACUAUGGUUGUCUGCAGUGGAUUCCCACAUUUUGCGGGAAUCUUUGUAAUGCAUUGAUGCCAAAAUCCAGCAUCACCUGAGCUCUGCGAAUGUGGCUUUCUCGCAAUUGAAGUGCAGAGUGUUUGAGGAGUGGGACAUCCGCAGGGAAACCAAAAUGCUUGUUUACCAAGCUAUUGCACUCCCAACCAUACUUGUGAAACAUGGACCACUUAUAAACGCCAUCUCCAGCUCCUCAAAAGAUUCCAUCAAUGGUGUUUCUGAAAAUUUUUGCACAUCACUUGGGAAGACAGGUGAACUAAUAUCCGUGUACUGGAAGAAGCAAAGAUCACCAGUGUUGAAGCAAUUAUUCUUCAACAUCAACAUCGUUAGAUGUUGUGUGGAUGCCUGAUUAUCAUCUUCCAAAACAACUACUCUAUUUUGAACUUUAAAAUGGAAAGCGUAAUGCUGGUGGUCAACAAAGGAGGUUUAAAGACUCUCUCAAGGCAAAUCUUUAAAAAUGUAAUAUAAACACCGACAACCGGGAAACAGCUCUGCUCUUCCUCUUGCCCUCAAGGCAGAGGCUACUUGUGAUUCCAGUAAGAGAAGCCUAUAUACCAUGAACCUUGAUCUUUACACCCGUUCAUCCAUUUUUUCAACCUUUACUGUAAUCACUGCAGAAUUUCACCACCUGGACUUUAAGCCUGAUGAAUGAAAGGUCAGGCCAUUUUAGGUUUGGGGGUGUGAUUGUUUUUCCAGCCUUUUUUCAUUCUGUGAUGCCGUCAGUCUUUGUGAAACAUUUCAAACAUAAGGAAACUGAAACUGGUCUGAGAUUUUCAUCCAUUGGUCUGAGAUUUUAGCUGUUUUUGCUCCUUUUUCUUUUCUCCAGAAAAACAAGAAAGAAAGGAAUGUGACCUCUGUUGACUACUUCAAACCACCACUUGAUGAGUUUUAGUGUUCUGUGCAUUUAAUCUUUACAAGUCCAUCAUUUAACUGCAAUGCUCGAUUCUUUCUGAUGGCUCAUAUAAUUGGCUUCAACAGCUAAUGGAUUUGUUUAUAUGAGCAGCUGACUUUUAAGAUUAGCAUGCCACACUGCUGUCUCGCGUAGUGAUAUAUUACUCAUGCAAGCAGAGCAAAAGGGAAGGGAAGGGUAGAAAUCCCUUUCAGAUCUUAAAAAACUUCUGCCUAGUUCACACCACCAGGAGUGAAAAGCCCCCAGAAAGAAUUCAUGGUAGUCUAGUGAAAAUCACAGGGUCCGUGCAGCAAGAUUAAGAUUUCAGAUUCUUCUCAUCGUGAGUUUUACUGCUGGGAUUUUAAGUUCUAAAUUAUCUGCCAUGUUUCCAAAGUAAAGUGUAUGCAUUAGCAAUUCCCCAUUAUUCCAACUUUUCAUUUCUGCAUUUUGUACACAGUUUGACACAGCGUUCCGUUCCUUCUUUCAUACUUUCUCCCAUGCACGCAUGCCCACAUUGAUAAAAUACUACAAUAAACGCAAUCUUGAUGCAACCGUGUGUGUAUUGAUAAAACCAGUGCCAUUUUCUAUAGAAAAGGGUGCCGGAACUCAAUAUGAACACCUCCCUUGAUCUCUUGCAAUGGCACCCACCUGAGAGGUGCUGAAACUAAGUUCCAGUGUGAUCCAGCUGAAAAAAAUAUCCCUGAAUAAAACAUCACAUAAAAGGCAAUGCAGAUGUGAUUGUACACGUGGCUGUAUCAACUCUUUCAUGUGUGUGGCAUUUACCAAGGUACGAAAGUGUGUGUGAGCACACCAGCAAAGCACUGCACAAACUGUUGAUGAAAUUAUACUUAUGAUCAGAUGACAGUUAUCUUUUGUUGCAUUUUACCCUGGGUAUAAGGUGUGUAUAUACAUUUAAAAAAAAUAAUAUUUUGCACAGAUGCAUGCAUCAGUAACACAGUGGGGAAAACAAACUGGAAGUACAAUUCUAUGAUUCUAUGAAGUUGCGUCAAUGUGAACAUGCUGCUGAUGGUUUGUGUGAAAACCAAUAUCCCAGCGACUUUGGAGUAAAAAAAAAAAGGCACUAGAAUCACUACACACACAGACCCCUGCUCUUUGAUGUGGUAUAGCAAAGGAACAGUUUUACGGCAUGAGGAGUGGUUAGCCUAAAGACCUUCUGGUGUGCCCCACCAAGCUAUACUUCAUUUCUAAACUAGGAGGUGAGAAUAAGACAAGGCAGAUUGUACCACCUGAAAGCCUGUUGUGCAGAUCUGUGAAUUAUGGCUGCAGUAGAAAGAGGGAGAAAACACAGCUCAAGCUUAUUCAACCAAAAUGACAAAGCAAUAAAAUGCCCUUUUAAAAUGGAUAACCUUCAUAUAAUGCAUAACCUUAGUACAGUAUAUGCAUUUUUGCACAAAACGCCGAGCUGCAUUGCAAAAUUUCCAGAAGUGCAAAUUUCAUUAUAUAUGUAUUUUUUUCAGGUUUACGCAUUUCAAUGAUUUUACAGUCAUUUUAACAUUUCAAAACUUGACUUCCUUCCCCCUCUUUCUAUGGUUCCUUAAUUUAUUUUUAAUAUUUUCUGCAUAUCCAAAUUAACUUAAUUUGUUUGUUUAUUCAUCUACUUUAAAUAUA
ensembl:lncRNA